UGAUCCUGGCCUCAGGAUGAAACGCUGGCGGCCGUGCCUUAAACAACAUGCAAAGUCCGAAACGGGUGAACCACNGGAGCUUGCUCUGUGGGGAUCCAGUGGGCGAAACGGGGUGAAGUUAACCACCGUUGAAGCCAAACCCUGCCCCCUGACUUCUUGGGGAUAAAGCGCUGGGAAAACGGCGUCUAAAUACUGGAUAUGUGACGUGACCGCAUGGUCUGCGUUUGGAAAGAUUUUUCGGUUGGGGAUGGGCUCGCGGCCUAUCAGCUUGUUGGUGAGGUAAUGGCUCACCAAGGCGUCGACGGGUAGCCGGCCUGAGAGGGUGACCGGCCACACUGGGACUGAGACACGGCCCAGACUCCUACGGGAGGCAGCAGUGGGGAAUAUUGCACAAUGGGCGGAAGCCUGAUGCAGCAACGCCGCGUGAGGGAUGACGGCCUUCGGGUUGUAAACCUCUUUUAGCAGGGAAGAAGCGAAAGUGACGGU
rnacentral:rRNA from 1 species